UUUCGUCCUUUUCCAAGCCAUUGGAAAGGUAUACAAUCACUGUACCAUUUCCUCAUUUGAUGUUUAAAAGUUAGUGAACGGAUUCCAAUUCAUUUGAUGAAAUUGUUUUUUGCAAGGCAGUUUCUACUGAAGGCAGGGCCAUGCAGAACGUAGGAUUGACAGGCUUGACGUUUUGGUCGCCAAAUGUUAACAUUUUUCGUGAUCCCAGAUGGGGAAGAGGCCAAGAGGCCCCUGGUUAGAAGUCCAUUUAUUAUUUUUCUUUUGUGUGCUUUUGAAUUGUGAUAAUUCAGGUAACAAAGCAAGAC
rnacentral:lncRNA from 1 species